AGGAGCAUUUUCCCCAAUAAAGGCUAAUUUGGAGUCCAAAGCUAUUGCAAAUUAGAAGAACAGAAGAAAAAAGAAAUGGAAACAUUUUCUUGUUUCUCUCCAGGAAGAGGUUGACCACAGGUGGGAAACACACCUGCAACAUAUCCAUCACAGCUGACAGAAGAAUGGAAUAAUGUGAUGCCUGGAGCCUAUCAUGCCUGGAGACCAGCAUCCCUGGACCCCCUCCUCAUUGCCCAUUUUCUCUGUAUAAUUGCCUCAAGUUUCUGUAAACCUGGAAGUUGGAUUUUUGAGACGUUAGUCACCCAUCUUCUGAUUAGCCAGCUAAUCUAAUUAAACUUCCUUUCUCAUCUCUAACUUGUGAUUAAUUGGCUCAGAUCUCGGUGAGCAGAGUGAGCCCAUUGCUUAGUAUCAAAUUCUGGCGACCCAGAGAGGACCAUAGCCUCUGCCCGUGGCUGGUUGACUUGGAGGAGGCUCUUUUGGGAUUUUUCCCUGCAUCUGCCAGGUGGCUUUUUCCGCCUGGGGAAUUUCCCUGUGGCUUCCUCGCUUGCCGACUGCCUCUAACGCUUCAGUGAUUGGGAAAGGAAGAACCGGAUCAACUAGAUCGUAAACUGAAGAGCUUACAUCUGCAGGUAGGCCAGCUAGAAAUGCAAGUGCUGCCGGAACAUCAUCUUCAUGGUUCCAGAUGGCCCUGCUAGGUGUUCAAACACCACUGCUGGACCCACUGCCAUUGGAUCUUCAAGGAGCCGACCUGAUUUGCUGGAUUGCCCGUGGGAAGAACCGGACUUGGAACUCUUCACAGUUGGCAGCAGCUUCACGGAUCAAGGUAAGAGACACGUGGGAUAUGCAGUCAUAACUUCACAAGAGACUUUAGAGGCUAAGGCUCUAUCCCCAGGGACAUUGGCUCAAAAUUCGGAAGUCAUUGCCCUUACUUGGGCUCUACAUCCAGCUCAAGGGAAAAAAGUAAAUAUAUACACACAUUCCUGUUAUGCCUUUGCUGUAGUUCAUGCUCAUGGGGCAAUCUGGAAAGAAAGAGGACUCUUAACAACAGGAAAAAAAGAAAUCAAACGUGGCCCUGAAAUUCUAGAACUGCUUGAUGCUAUUAAUGAGCCAGCUCAGAUAGCUAUCAUUCAUAGCUCUGGGCUACAGAGGGAGAAUCUAAUGGGUCCAGAAGUAUGUCAUAGGGCCCCAACUACAAAAGACUAUACAACAGGUGACUAAAAGUUGCAUAAUCUGUGCAAACAACAACCCCAAGACUGCUUCCGGUCCCCUACAUCUGUGCACCCAACAUAAAAAAAAUUUGGCCUAAUGAAGAUUGGCAAAUAGACUUUACCCAGAUGCCCUAUGCAGCUGGGAAUUUUAGGUUUCUGUUAGUGUUUAUGGACACUUUCAUUGGGCGGGUAGAAACCUUUUCCAUUCAGACUGAGAAAGCAUCAAAAGUCACUCGCAUGUUGCUAAAAAAAUCAUCCUAAAGUUUGGCCUGCCUAAUACCUUGCAGAGUGAUAAUGGACCAGCUUUUGUUUCCCAAAUAACCUAACAACUGUCCAAAAGCUUAGAUAUCCGAUGGAUACUACACUCAGCUUGGAGACUUCAAUCAACUGGAAAGAUGGAAAAAAUGAAUCACACCUUAAAGAAGACCAUUGCCAAAAUCUGUCAGGAAACACAACUAACUUGGGACAAGGCACUACCCCUUACCCUGCUAUGGGUUAGAGUAGAGUAUGAUGAGAGUGGACUUAAAUUGCGUCCUUUUGAAAUUCUAUAUGGGAGACACUUUCAGGCACCUUCCCUUGGGACUGAGUGUCUAGAUGUCUUCAGGAAUGUUAUGAUUGCUAAUUAUGUUAAAUCAUUAAGCUCUGUAUUAACUUCUGUCCAUGAGUUUGCUUCUCAUAGGUCUGCAUAUCUGUCUGAUGUCCCUCUAUAUGCCUUCCAGCCUGGUGAUCAUGUUUUGCUAAAAAUUUGGAAAGACCAGGGACCCAAAAACCAGUUGUCACCCAAACAGACAGGCCCUUCUGAGAUUCUUCUCACCGCUCACUCAUCGGUAGAACUUACAGGUGUAAAACCCUGGAUACAUCACUCCCAGAUCGGGGUGGCCCCCAAAUCCCAGGAAAGUAUCCCACAUGUAUCAAGGGGAAAAUGGGUGGUGGAACCCCUUGGGGAGCUAAAAUAGAUCUUUCACAGUUAACUCUUUUCCAUGCUAUGGUCCCCCUAUGACGUCCUGAUUUAGCAGGAAGUAGCCAGAGAAAGUACAACGCCCUAUCUCCCCCUUGACCAUAAGAUUAUGGGUUACUACUAACAGGGGGGAAAUUGUAAGUGAGCAAAAGUGAAGCCAUCUUGUUUUGUUAAAUGGCCCCAGCCCCUCAUCUGUGUGACUACUCACUGCUCUGCACAUACCUUAAAAAAUUCACAUGUUCUCCUGAUUUAUGGCCUCGGCUUACGUAUGUACUCCCUGAAACCUUGAUAAAUUAAAACUUU
rnacentral:lncRNA from 1 species